UGAAUACGAGACGCUAAGGCGUCGAAGUAGUGUAUGUCAUACUUCCAAGAAAAGCUUGCACUGUCAUAGAUAAAAAACGCCUGUACCAUAACCGACACAGGUGGGUAGGUAGAGUAUACUAAGGGGCGCGAGAUAACUCUCUCUAAGGAACUCGGCAAAAUAACUCCGUAACUUCGGGAGAAGGAGUGCCUUAUUCUUAAGGUUACAAUAACAAGAUCCAAGCAACUGUUUAUCAAAAACACAGGUCUCCGCUAAGUCGUAAGACGAUGUAUGGGGGCUGACGCCUGCCCAGUGCCAGAAGGUUAAAGAAGCUGGUUAGCAUUUGCGAAGCUAGUAACUGAAGCCCUGGUGAACGGCGGCCGUAACAAUAACGGUCCUAAGGUAGCGAAAUUCCCUGUCGGGUAAGUUCCGACCCGCACGAAAGGCGUAAUGAUUUGGAUACUGUCUCGGAGAGGGGCUCGGUGAAAUAGACUUGUCUGUGAAGAUGCGGACUACCUGCACCAGGUCAGAAAGACCCUAUGAAGCUUUACUGUAACUUGAAAUUGAAAUUGGACUUUAUUCGCGCAGUAUAGGUGGGAGGCGUUGAUUAUAAUCUUGCGGGAUUAUUGGAGCCAUUAGUGAGAUACCACUCUUGUAAUGUUAGAUUUCUAACUUUGAAUCAUUAUCUGGUCAAAGAACAGUUUCAGGCGGGCAGUUUGACUGGGGCGGUCGCCUCCUAAACGGUAACGGAGGCGUACAAAGGUUUCCUCUGAACGGUUAGAAAUCGUAUCUAGAGUGUAAAGGCAUAAGGAAGCUUGACUGUGAGACCUACAAGUCGAGCAGGGACGAAAGUCGGUCUUAGUGAUCUGACGGUACUGAGUGGAAAGGCCGUCACUCAACGGAUAAAAGUUACUCUAGGAUAACAGGCUGAUCUCCCCCAAGAGUUCACAUCGACGGGGAGGUUUGGCACCUUGAUGUCGGCUCAUCGCAUCCUGGGGCGGUAGUACGUCCCAAGGGUUGGGCUGUUCGCCCAUGAAAGCGGUACGCGAGCUGGGUUCAGAACGUCGUGAGACAGUUCGGUCCAUAUCCGGUGUAGGCGUUAGAAUAUUGAGAGGAGCCUUCUUUAGUACGAGAGGACCGAGAAGGACAUACCUCUGGUGUACCAGUUAUCGUGCCAACGGUAAACGCUGGGUAGCUAUGUAUGGAGUGGAUAACCGCUGAAAGCAUCUAAGUGGGAAGCCCACCUCAAGAUAAGUAUUCUCA
rnacentral:rRNA from 1 species